rnacentral:rRNA from 1 species
GAUGAACGCUGGCGGCGUGCUUAACACAUGCAAGUCGAACGGAAAGGCUCCUGCUUGCAGGGGUACUCGAGUGGCGAACGGGUGAGUAACACGUGGGUGAUCUGCCCUGCACUUCGGGAUAAGCCUGGGAAACUGGGUCUAAUACCGGAUAGGACCACAUUUUGGAUGGUGUGGUGGAAAGUUUUUCGGUGUGGGAUGAGCUCGCGGCCUAUCAGCUCGUUGGUGGGGUAAUGGCCUACCAAGGCGUCGACGGGUAGCCGGCCUGAGAGGGUGUACGGCCACAUUGGGACUGAGAUACGGCCCAGACUCCUACGGGAGGCAGCAGUGGGGAAUAUUGCACAAUGGGCGCAAGCCUGAUGCAGCGACGCCGCGUGGGGGAUGACGGCCUUCGGGUUGUAAACUCCUUUCGCUAGGGACGAAGCGCAAGUGACGGUACCUGGAGAAGAAGCACCGGCUAACUACGUG